GUGGCUUUAAAAUGAAAGUCACUAAAGCUUUAAUCAGAAACAAGCUCCUGAAAAAAAAAAUGAAUUAUAGAGAAAAUUCAUCACAUGGAUGAAAUACAUUUUCAACAAUUUCAGAAUGUUGGAUUGCGACUAGACCAAUGAAGCCAUAAUUCCAUGGGGGAAAAAAACACAAUAGCUAGUUGCUAUUCAUUAUCAUUACACUUAGGUAUUUUUCAUGAUUUUGCAUAUCAAACGCACCUUUCACUCGAUGAAUUAUUAGGAGACACCGUGUCAAUCAAAUGGAUCUCUUUGGCCACCAAUAUGUAUCAUUGUUUUAUCAUAUGGAUAGAUGGAUUUGCACCGAGUAAUAAAAUAUAAAUUAUUAAUAAAAAAUAUAUUUUUAUAUAGAUUGUUAAUUAAAAUAUGCAAAGCAUGGGUGUCCUCUUUGUAAAAG
rnacentral:misc_RNA from 1 species